UUAAACUGAAGAGUUUGAUCAUGGCUCAGAUUGAACGCUGGCGGCAGGCUUAACACAUGCAAGUCGAGCGGGG
rnacentral:rRNA from 1 species